rnacentral:lncRNA from 1 species
AUGGCACUUUCAAAAGCAAUGAAUUCUUCCCUCCUUUCACACUGGGAUCUAAGUAGCAUUAUCAUACAGCUGCACUGUCCUCGGUGUGUGGCAGGUUCCCAGUCUCCUGUGUUGCUCUCCACAGUUCCCAGUCGUCCUGGUGUUGCUCUCCACAGGUUCCCUGUCUCCUGGUUGCUCUCCACAGGUUCCCGGUCCCUGGUGUUGCUCUCCACAGGUUCCCGGUCUCCUGGUGUUGCUCUCCGUAGGUUCCCAGACUCCUGGUGUUGCUCUCCGCAGGUUCCCAGUCUCCUGGUGUUGCUCUCCGUAGGUUCCCAGUCUCCUGGUGUUGCUCUCCGUAGGUUCCCAGUCUCCUGGUGUUGCUCUCCGUAGGUUCCCAGUCUCCUGGUGUUGCUU